rnacentral:rRNA from 1 species
GUCUUUUUGAAUUUUAUAUAAAGUCUAACCUGCCCAUUGAAUAUUUUAAAAGGCUGCGGUAUUUUGACCGUACAAAGGUAGCAUAGUCAUUAGUUUCUUAAUUGGGAACUUGUAUGAAUGGUUGAAUGAGAAAUUAGCUUUUUUUUUAAAAAUAUUGAAUUUUACUUUUUAAUUAAAAGGUUAAAAUUUAUUUAAAAGACGAGAAGACCCUAUAGAGUUUAAUAAUUUAAUAUUUAUUAUUAAAAAAGUUUAUUUAUAGUAUUAUAAUUUUGAUUAUUUUAUUGGGGUGAUAGUAAAAUUUAAUUAACUUUUAUUAAUAUAUUACAUUAAUAUAUGAAAAUUUGAUCCAUUAUUAUUGAUUAAAAAUUUAAAUUACCUUAGGGAUAACAGCGUAAUUUUUUUUUAAGUUCAUAUUAAUAAAAAAUUUUGCGACCUCGAUGUUGGAUUAAGAUUUAAUUUUAGGUGCAGCAGUUUAAAAUUUAAGUCUGUUCGACUUUUAAAUUCUU